UCUUCCACUGGCUGAAUUUAAGGCGUAUUUUUCAGCUGUCAGGAACCCUAACCGUGAGUACAACUUCUCGGAGUUCUGUGAGUCCUUCCAGCAAAUUAUGCAACCUGAGAGUGGUUUUGGGGCUCCUUGAACUUGAAGCUGGUGUCAGAAGCGAGGACGGUCUAGUGUGGACGGCUGCUUCUCACAUGGACCCUUGACGUGACCAGUGAUGUGCUGGACCCAUCCAGGUAGAUGAUGCUUCCCGUCCGCCCCAGCUUGCUGCCCUGGAACCAAGAAACGCUCGAAUGUCCCGAGUUGCCACCAGGGGAAACAGACAGUUUAAAAAUUAAACACGGCCUUUGAUCUAUGUACCCACACCUCUGAUCACCCCCCGGCCUUGUGCACGAAUAUUCAGCCUUGACCCGGGA